AUUGAACGCUGGCGGAAUGCUUUACACAUGCAAGUCGAACGGCAGCACGGACUUCGGUCUGGUGGCGAGUGGCGAACGGGUGAGUAAUACAUCGGAACGUGCCCAGUCGUGGGGGAUAACGUAGCGAAAGCUACGCUAAUACCGCAUACGAUCUAAGGAUGAAAGCGGGGGAUCGCAAGACCUCGCGCGAUUGUAGCGCCCGAUGGCAGAUUAGGUAGUUGGUGGGGUAAAGGGUCACCAAGCCGACGAUCUGUAGCUGGUCUGAGAGGACGACCAGCCACACUGGGACUGAGACACGGCCCAGACUCCUACGGGAGGCAGCAGUGGGGAAUUUUGGACAAUGGGCGCAAGCCUGAUCCAGCCAUUCCGCGUGCAGGAUGAAGGCCCUCGGGUUGUAAACUGCUUUUGUACGGAACGAAAAGGCUCUGGUUACUACCUGGGGCUCAUGACGGUACCGUAAGAAUAAGCACCGGCUAACUACGUGCCAGCCGCCGCCGUAA
rnacentral:rRNA from 1 species